UUGGAGGGCAAGUCUGGUGCCAGCAGCCGCGGUAAUUCCAGCUCCAAUAGCGUAUAUUAAAGUUGUUGCAGUUAAAAAGCUCGUAGUUGAAUUUCGGGAUCAAAUUGUCGGUCGUGCCUCGGUACGCACUGGUAUUAUUGGUUCCUACCUUCUGAAGAACCGCGGUGUCAUUAAUUUGGUGUCGUGGGGAAUCAGGACUGUUACUUUGAAAAAAUUAGAGUGUUUAAAGCAGGCUUACGCUUGAAUACAUUAGCAUGGAAUAAUGAAAUAGGACGUUUGAUUCUGUUUUGUUGGUUUCUAGGAUUGACGUAAUGAUUAAUAGGGAUAGUUGGGGGCAUUAGUAUUCAAUUGUCAGAGGUGAAAUUCUUGGAUUUAUUGAAGACUAACUACUGCGAAAGCAUUUGCCAAGGAUGUUUUCAUUAAUCAAGAACGAAAGUUAGGGGAUCGAAGACGAUCAGAUACCGUCGUAGUCUUAACCAUAAACUAUGCCGACUAGGGAUCGGAUGAUGUUAAUUUUUUAAUGACUCAUUCGGCGCCUUACGGGAAACCAAAGUGUUUGGGUUC
rnacentral:rRNA from 1 species